AGCUCCAAUAGCGUAUAUUAAAGUUGUUGCGGUUAAAAGCUCGUAGUUGGAUUUCUGUUGAGGUCGGCCGGUCCCUACUUCGUAGGCGUAUCUGGUUCAGCCUUGGCAUCCUCCUAGGGAACGGCACUGCUCUUAACUGAGUGGUCCGGUAUCUAGGACUUUUACUUUGAGGAAAUUAGAGUGUUUACGGCAGGCAAUCGCCUUGAAUAUGUUAGCAUGGAAUAAUAAUAUAGGACCUUGGUUCUAUUUUGUUGGUUUCUAGGACUAAGGUAAUGAUUAAUAGGGAUAUUUGGGGGCAUUCGUAUUAACCGGUCAGAGGUGGAAUUCUUGGAUUCGGUUACGACGAACUACUGCGAAAGCAUUUGCCAAGGAUGUUUCA
rnacentral:rRNA from 1 species